GGGGGUUUCCGCCCCUUAGUGCUGCAGCUAACGCAUUAAGCACUCCGCCUGGGGAGUACGGUCGCAAGACUGAAACUCAAAGGAAUUGACGGGGGCCCGCACAAGCGGUGGAGCAUGUGGUUUAAUUCGAAGCAACGCGAAGAACCUUACCAGGUCUUGACAUCCCGUUGACCACUGUAGAGAUAUGGUUUCCCCUUCGGGGGCAACGGUGACAGGUGGUGCAUGGUUGUCGUCAGCUCGUGUCGUGAGAUGUUGGGUUAAGUCCCGCAACGAGCGCAACCCUUGAUCUUAGUUGCCAUCAUUUAGUUGGGCACUCUAAGGUGACUGCCGGUGACAAACCGGAGGAAGGUGGGGAUGACGUCAAAUCAUCAUGCCCCUUAUGACCUGGGCUACACACGUGCUACAAUGGACGAUACAAACGGUUGCCAACUCGCGAGAGGGAGCUAAUCC
rnacentral:rRNA from 1 species